rnacentral:rRNA from 1 species
AACGAACGCUGGCGGCAUGCCUAACACAUGCAAGUCGAACGAGACCUUCGGGUCUAGUGGCGCACGGGUGCGUAACGCGUGGGAACCUGCCCUUAGGUUCGGAAUAACUCCCCGAAAGGGGUGCUAAUACCGGAUAAUGUCUUCGGACCAAAGAUUUAUCGCCUUUGGAUGGGCCCGCGUUGGAUUAGCUAGUUGGUAGGGUAAAAGCCUACCAAGGCGACGAUCCAUAGCUGGUCUGAGAGGAUGAUCAGCCACACUGGGACUGAGACACGGCCCAGACUCCUACGGGAGGCAGCACUGGGGAAUAUUGGAAAAUGGGCGAAAGCAUGAUCCAGCAAUGCCGCGUGAGUGAUGAAGGCCUUAGGGUUGUAAAGCUCUUUUAACCGGGAUGAUAAUGACAGUACCGGGAGAAUAAGCGCCGGCUAACUCCGUG